rnacentral:lncRNA from 1 species
GUCCGCCCUGGGCAGGCUCAGGGGUGGCGGACGAGCUGGCGAGCAGAGGGGCGGCGCCCUGACGGGCGGGGCGACCCGGAGCUGCAGAGCGGGAUGGACAGAAAGAAGAGCAUCUGUCCUCCAGGCUGGGCUUUGUCUCCGUUUGCUCUGCGACUGCACUAGCGCAGCAAGGCUACAUAAGGAGGCUUUUCAGCAGAGGAGCCUGGUGUUGAACUCGUGCCAUGGGGAAUGAAUUCUUCUAUAGACCCCUCGUCCUCUUCUGGAAGUUAAAGGGGGGCGAUUUGCAAAAAAAGCAUAUGUGUAUGAAUGUGUCUUCCUGUCCUAGCAUUUUGUGCCUUUAAGUCCUUGUGCUUCUGAGUGGACUCGACUGUCAGUGCCGCUCAAGGCCCUCACUAGCCUCCACACUCAGAGUUCCCCUGACAGAGCCAGUGUAAACUGGUUUUCACAGCAUGAGCUGUAUUCCUGCUGAAGAACUGGCUUUUACAGAAUUUGCAAAGCUAGCAAUUAGACAACUAACACCCAUGCCACUGUGUUGUUAAAGGGAACAUUCAGUAUUGCUAGAGACCGAGAAAGGCUCUCUGCAGCGUUGUUUUUAUGGGAAGAAAUAUGUAUGUAGAGAAGCCAACAGACAGUGCAGGGCUAAAUCCAUGUCCGCUGCCCUUGGUUUCUGGUUUACUUUAAAAAGCUCCAUCUGUAUCAUCUUCACAAGUGAACCAGUUCCCAAAGUAUAAUGCAUUGUAAGUAUUUAGUAUAUUGAUAACGGCUUGAAAUCUACAGAAUACCUGUGAUUUUUCUCACAGCCGAAAAGACCCGAACUAUUAUGUGUUCAACCAAGGAGAGCUUUAGGCUGGGCCCACUAUUCCACUAAUCCUCAUUGUUUGAGACGCAGCGAUAAAUGGGGAGUGGUAGGCCAGGCCUGUGUUCCAAGAACAGGGAGGCGUGGCAGGAGGAUGAGGAAUUGACCUCCUAGAAGUUGAAGAAAAAGAAAAGGGAACCAAAACAAUGUUCUGAGUCAUGUGUUGUGCUAUCCAUAAAAGACGGAGGGGAUGUAGGUAGCCAUUAUAGAACAGCCUACAUCCUGAAUAUGAAGGGGACAGGUGCUUAAGCCAAAAGGUUUCCAAAGUUCAUGAGGUCCUAGGUUCUGUCGUCAGCAUCAUAGAGUUAUGCUUAAAGAUACUCAGAUGACAGUAAAGAUGAAGCCCUGAUCCUUCUUUGUCCAUAAGCAUGGUGACUGGUCACACCUGACAGCAGGAUGUGGAAAAGGAAGAAGAGCCUAAAAGCCCCCUGAGCUUUGUUAACCACGUACAAUACAG